ACUAAGCGUACACGGUGGAUGCCCUGGCAGUCAGAGGCGAUGAAGGACGUGCUAAUCUGCGAAAAGCGUCGGUAAGGUGAUAUGAACCGUUAUAGCCGGCGAUGUCCGAAUGGGGAAACCCAGUGUGAUUCGUCACACUAUCGUUAACUGAAUACAUAGGUUAACGAGGCGAACCGGGGGAACUGAAACAUCUAAGUACCCCGAGGAAAAGAAAUCAACCGAGAUUCCCCCAGUAGCGGCGAGCGAACGGGGAGCAGCCCAGAGUCUGAAUCAGCUUGUGUGUUAGUGGAACGGUCUGGAAAGUCCGACGGUACAGGGUGAUAGUCCCGUACACCAAAAUGCACAGGCUGUGAACUCGAAGAGUAGGGCGGGACACGUGGUAUCCUGUCUGAAUAUGGGGGGACCAUCCUCCAAGGCUAAAUACUCCUGACUGACCGAUAGUGAACCAGUACCGUGAGGGAAAGGCGAAAAGAACCCCGGCGAGGGGAGUGAAAAAGAACCUGAAACCGUGUACGUACAAGCAGUGGGAGCACCUUCGGGUGUGACUGCGUACCUUUUGUAUAAUGGGUCAGCGACUUAUAUUCUGUAGCAAGGUUAACCGUAUAGGGGAGCCGCAGGGAAACCGAGUCUUAACUGGGCGUUAAGUUGCAGGGUAUAGACCCGAAACCCGGUGAUCUAGCCAUGGGCAGGUUGAAGGUUGGGUAACACUAACUGGAGGACCGAACCGACUAAUGUUGAAAAAUUAGCGGAUGACUUGUGGCUGGGGGUGAAAGGCCAAUCAAACCGGGAGAUAGCUGGUUCUCCCCGAAAGCUAUUUAGGUAGCGCCUCGUGAAUUCAUCUUCGGGGGUAGAGCACUGUUUCGGCUAGGGGGUCAUCCCGACUUACCAACCCGAUGCAAACUACGAAUACCGAAGAAUGUUAUCACGGGAGACACACGGCGGGUGCUAACGUCCGUCGUGAAGAGGGAAACAACCCAGACCGCCAGCUAAGGUCCCAAAGUCAUGGUUAAGUGGGAAACGAUGUGGGAAGGCACAGACAGCCAGGAUGUUGGCUUAGAAGCAGCCAUCAUUUAAAGAAAGCGUAAUAGCUCACUGGUCGAGUCGGCCUGCGCGGAAGAUGUAACGGGGCUAAACCAUGCACCGAAGCUGCGGCAGCGACACUAUGUGUUGUUGGGUAGGGGAGCGUUCUGUAAGCCUGCGAAGGUGUGCUGUGAGGCAUGCUGGAGGUAUCAGAAGUGCGAAUGCUGACAUAAGUAACGAUAAAGCGGGUGAAAAGCCCGCUCGCCGGAAGACCAAGGGUUCCUGUCCAACGUUAAUCGGGGCAGGGUGAGUCGACCCCUAAGGCGAGGCCGAAAGGCGUAGUCGAUGGGAAACAGGUUAAUAUUCCUGUACUUGGUGUUACUGCGAAGGGGGGACGGAGAAGGCUAUGUUAGCCGGGCGACGGUUGUCCCGGUUUAAGCAUGUAGGCUGGUUGUCCAGGCAAAUCCGGAUAAUCAAGGCUGAGGUGUGAUGACGAGGCACUACGGUGCUGAAGUAACAAAUGCCCUGCUUCCAGGAAAAGCCUCUAAGCAUCAGGUAACAUUAAAUCGUACCCCAAACCGACACAGGUGGUCAGGUAGAGAAUACCAAGGCGCUUGAGAGAACUCGGGUGAAGGAACUAGGCAAAAUGGUGCCGUAACUUCGGGAGAAGGCACGCUGGUGUGUAGGUGAAGCCCCUGCGGGUGGAGCUGAGACCAGUCGAAGAUACCAGCUGGCUGCAACUGUUUAUUAAAAACACAGCACUGUGCAAACACGAAAGUGGACGUAUACGGUGUGACGCCUGCCCGGUGCCGGAAGGUUAAUUGAUGGGGUUAUCCGUAAGGAGAAGCUCUUGAUCGAAGCCCCGGUAAACGGCGGCCGUAACUAUAACGGUCCUAAGGUAGCGAAAUUCCUUGUCGGGUAAGUUCCGACCUGCACGAAUGGCGUAAUGAUGGCCAGGCUGUCUCCACCCGAGACUCAGUGAAAUUGAACUCGCUGUGAAGAUGCAGUGUACCCGCGGCAAGACGGAAAGACCCCGUGAACCUUUACUAUAGCUUGACACUGAACAUUGAGCCUUGAUGUGUAGGAUAGGUGGGAGGCUUUGAAGCGUGGACGCCAGUCUGCGUGGAGCCAACCUUGAAAUACCACCCUUUAAUGUUUGAUGUUCUAACGUUGGCCCCUUACCGGGGUUGCGGACAGUGUCUGGUGGGUAGUUUGACUGGGGCGGUCUCCUCCCAAAGCGUAACGGAGGAGCACGAAGGUUAGCUAAUCCUGGUCGGACAUCAGGAGGUUAGUGCAAUGGCAUAAGCUAGCUUGACUGCGAGCGUGACGGCGCGAGCAGGUGCGAAAGCAGGUCAUAGUGAUCCGGUGGUUCUGAAUGGAAGGGCCAUCGCUCAACGGAUAAAAGGUACUCCGGGGAUAACAGGCUGAUACCGCCCAAGAGUUCAUAUCGACGGCGGUGUUUGGCACCUCGAUGUCGGCUCAUCACAUCCUGGGGCUGAAGUAGGUCCCAAGGGUAUGGCUGUUCGCCAUUUAAAGUGGUACGCGAGCUGGGUUUAGAACGUCGUGAGACAGUUCGGUCCCUAUCUGCCGUGGGCGCUGGAGAAUUGAGGGGGGCUGCUCCUAGUACGAGAGGACCGGAGUGGACGCAUCACUGGUGUUCGGGUUGUCAUGCCAAUGGCACUGCCCGGUAGCUAAAUGCGGAAGAGAUAAGUGCUGAAAGCAUCUAAGCACGAAACUUGCCCCGAGAUGAGUUCUCCCUGAGACUUUAAGUCUCCUGAAGGAACGUUGAAGACGACGACGUUGAUAGGCCGGGUGUGUAAGCGCAGCGAUGCGUUGAGCUAACCGGUACUAAUGAACCGUGAGGCUUAACC
rnacentral:rRNA from 1 species